rnacentral:lncRNA from 1 species
AUGAUUCAUGUUAAAAGCAUCAAUUUAUCCACAUAUGACACAACCAAAGAAAGCUUACCAAAGCUAUAUCAAAUUACAUGCAUUUUAACACAUUAAUCUCAAACAAUUAUUAAUCUGAUUUGUAUUCAUGGUAUACGAGACACAAGAAGAAACAAAAAAAAUGUGUUAAAAGCAUUAAUUCAUCCACAUAUGACCCAUCAAAUGAGAUAUUACCUAAUCUAUA